UUAAGUAGUAAUGCCUUCCAAGAGGUUCUCCAGAGCGUGUUUGCAGAUAUACAAGUAUAUACCACAAAUGGUAAAAAACAGAGGAGAACCUCAAGUAAAACAAAGGUAAUGGAAAAUAGCCUGACUGUCUCUAUGCGAAAAGGAGAAAACAAAAUGGGGAAUUAGAAGAGCAUCACUGAGCAUAAGUGGUUUUGGAAAAUAUACACUGAGCAUUCAUGUGCCAUUUGGAGAGAUGCCAGUUUUAGAGAAGAACUGGCAAGGCUGGGGCAGAGCCAGAAGCUUUAUCCACGAGGCUUAAUUCAAGGAUGCUGACAGUUGCUCUUUAAAGACCUCACCUUUUUGUCAUGGUUAUUAAUAAGCAAUGCCUUUAAUGCUCAGUAUAGCUACACGUGUGCUCCAUGCAAAGGUCUGAACAACCAACCCAAGAUCAUGGCAGCAGAUGGAACUCAGACAAGACAGGUGACAUUGUGGGCCUUUGCUCUGAGACACCUCCUAUAUGACAGGAGAGUGAUGCAACAGUCAC